rnacentral:rRNA from 1 species
AGGGAAUAUUGGACAAUGGGGGGAACCCUGAUCCAGCCAUGCCGCGUGGAGGAAGACUGCCCUCUGGGUUGUAAACUCCUUUUAUAUGGGAAGAACCGUCCUCAUUGAUGAGUGACCUGACGGUACCAUAGGAAUAAGCACCGGCUAACUCCGUGCCAGCAGCCGCGGUAAUACGGAGGGUGCAAGCGUUAUCCGGAUUCACUGGGUUUAAAGGGUGCGUAGGCGGAUAUGUAAGUCAGUGGUGAAAUCAACGGGCUCAACCUGUUAACUGCCAUUGAUACUGUGUAUCUUGAAUAUGAGAGAGGUAGGCGGAAUGUUGCAUGUAGCAGUGAAAUGCUUAGAUAUGCUACGGAACACCGAUUGCGAAGGCAGCUUACUAUUUCGUAAUUGACGCUGAGGCACGAAAGCGUGGGUAGCGAACA